rnacentral:rRNA from 1 species
UGGGGAAUUUUGGACAAUGGGCGAAAGCCUGAUCCAGCAAUGCCGCGUGUGUGAAGAAGGCCUUCGGGUUGUAAAGCACUUUUGUCCGGAAAGAAAUCCUUGGCUCUAAUACAGUCGGGGGAUGACGGUACCGGAAGAAUAAGCACCGGCUAACUACGUGCCAGCAGCCGCGGUAAUACGUAGGGUGCAAGCGUUAAUCGGAAUUACUGGGCGUAAAGCGUGCGCAGGCGGUUUGCUAAGACCGAUGUGAAAUCCCCGGGCUCAACCUGGGAACUGCAUUGGUGACUGGCAGGCUAGAGUAUGGCAGAGGGGGGUAGAAUUCCACGUGUAGCAGUGAAAUGCGUAGAGAUGUGGAGGAAUACCGAUGGCGAAGGCAGCCCCCUGGGCCAAUACUGACGCUCAUGCACGAAAGCGUGGGGAGCAAAACAGGGGUUAGAUACCCUGGUAGUCCACGCCCUAAACGAUGUCAACUAGUUGUGGGGAUUCAUUUCCUUAGUAACGUAGCUAACGCGUGAAGUUGACCGCCUGGGGGAGUACGGUCGCAAGAUUAAAACUCAAAGGAAUUGACGGGGUCAUAGCUGUUUCCU